UACGUAGGGUGCGAGCGUUGUCCGGAUUUAUUGGGCGUAAAGAGCGUGUAGGCGGUUUGGUAGGUCCGCUGUGAAAACUCGAGCUCAACCUCGAGACGCCGGUGGAAACCAUCAGACUAGAGUCCGGAAGAGGAGAGUGGAAUUCCUGGUGUAGCGGUGAAAUGCGCAGAUAUCAGGAGGAACACCGGUGGCGAAGGCGGGUCUCUGGGCAGUAACUGACGCUGGAGGAGCGAAAGCGUGGGGAGCGAACAGG
rnacentral:rRNA from 1 species